rnacentral:rRNA from 1 species
CUAAGGUAGCAUAGUCAUUUGUUAUUUAAUUGGUAACUGGAAUGAAAGGUUAAACUAGCUUAUUAAGUUUGUGAGAUUAUAUAGUAGUUUAAAGUUAAGGUAAGAAUUCUUUAAUGUUCUAGGGGACGAUAAGACCCUAGAAGCUUAACAAGCAGUAAAUUUUGUUUUAGAAGAUUGUUUGUUUUACUGGGGCGGUAAAAAUAAUUAAACUAUUUAAUACUUAUAAGAUCCUUAAAAUAAAGAUAGAAUGGGAAAGUUACUCUAGGGAUAA